GUUGUAUAGUCAAGUAAUUAAGUGCAUGUGGUGGAUGCCUUGGCAGUCAGAGGCGAAGAAAGACGUGAUAGCCUGCGAAAAGCUCCGGGGAGGCGGCAAAUAUCCUGUGAUCCGGAGAUGUCUGAAUGGGGAAACCC
rnacentral:rRNA from 1 species